UACGUAGGGUGCGAGCGUUAAUCGGAAUUACUGGGCGUAAAGCGUGCGCAGGCGGUUUUGUAAGCCAGAUGUGAAAUCCCCGGGCUUAACCUGGGAAUGGCAUUUGGGACUGCAAGGCUGGAGUGCGGCAGAGGAGAGUGGAAUUCCUGGUGUAGCAGUGAAAUGCGUAGAUAUCAGGAGGAAUACCGAUGGCGAAGGCAGGUCUCUGGGCUGACACUGACGCUCAUGCACGAAAGCGUGGGGAGCAAACAGG
rnacentral:rRNA from 1 species